rnacentral:rRNA from 1 species
AGUCAGAUGGGCGCAGCCUGACCGCAAUGCCGCGUGAGUGAAGAAGGCCUUCGGGUUGUAAAGCUCUUUUGUCAGGGAAGAAACGGUGGACUCUAAUACAGAUCACUAAUGACGGUACCUGAAGAAUAAGCACCGGCUAACUACGUGCCAGCAGCCGCGGUAAUACGUAGGGUGCAAGCGUUAAUCGGAAUUACUGGACGUAAAGCGUGCGCAGGCGGUUUGGUAAGACAGAUGUGAAAUCCCCGGGCUCAACCUGGGAAUUGCAUUUGUGACUGCCCGACUAGAGUGUGUCAGAGGGGGGUAGAAUUCCACGUGUAGCAGUGAAAUGCGUAGAGGUGUGGAGGAAUACCGAUGGCGAAGGCAGCCCCCUGGGAUAACACUGACGCUCAUGCACGAAAG